UUCCAACAAUCACGUUUGGGACAUCCAAAAAGGACAUGAAGAAUGAGAGAAAAACACUGGCUCUCAAAAUACUGAAAGCAUCAGUGUUUGAGUUUGAAAGCAACUGCCAUCUGGGCCUCCACUGACAAAUUGGAUCUAAUGUGACAGAAAUGAUUCCAUGCACAAUGCAAGCCUGAAGAGAACCAGGGCAGGCAGUUGGAGCUGCAGUUUGUGCCCUUAAUUCACAAUCUAUCUUCACUGAAUUAUUUCAUUGCCUGCAAUAGAAU